UAAUCAGUCGGUUUCUGCGCUUGACCCCUCCCAGGACUCGUGAUGCCUAGGCCGCUGCGAGUGGCUACCAAGAGUCGGGGUUGAGCCCCAGCUGAGCCGAGGGCUCGCACUCUUCUGGUCUCCCAGGCCCGUCCCACCUAAAGAAAUGAGUGGUGGAUUGGCUCCAAGUAAGAGCACAGUGUAUAUAUCCAACUUGCCUUUUUCCCUGACAAACAAUGACUUGUACCAGAUAUUUUCCAAGUAUGGCAAAGUUGUAAAGGUUACCAUAAUGAAAGAUAAAGAUACCAGGAAGAGUAAAGGGGUUGCAUUUAUUUUAUUUUUGGAUAAAGACUCUGCACAAAACUGUACCAGGGCAAUAAACAACAAACAGUUAUUUGGUAGAGUGAUAAAAGCAAGCAUUGCUAUUGACAAUGGAAGAGCAGCUGAGUUCAUCCGAAGGCGAAACUACUUUGAUAAAUCUAAGUGUUAUGAAUGUGGGGAAAGUGGACACUUAAGUUAUGCCUGUCCGAAAAAUAUGCUUGGAGAAUGUGAGCCGCCAAAGAAGAAAGAAAAAAAGAAAAAAAAGAAAGCUCCUGAACCAGAAGAAGAAAUUGAGGAAGUAGAAGAAAGUGAAGAUGAAGGGGAGGAUCCUGCUCUUGACAGCCUCAGUCAGGCCAUAGCAUUCCAGCAAGCCAAAAUUGAAGCAGAACAAAAACAAUGGAAACCCAGUUCAGGAGGCCCCUCAACAUCAGAUGAUUCAAGGUGCCCAAGGAUAAAGAAAAGCACCUAUUUCAGUGAUGAGGAAGAACUUAGUGAUUAAAAUCUUACCCUAGCACAGUAAUAAAAAUCAAGAUUUGUUAGUAAUAAUCCUGAAGAGCUAAUUUUAAUAAAAAUAAGAAAAGUUAAUACUAUCAUGUUAAUACUAUUAUCAUCUUAAGAAAAAAGAUAUUUUAAAAAUUUAUUUGAAAAGUUCAUCAUAAGGGCUUUAUUCAUAUCUGAUUUGUUUACAUGAGGACUUCUGAAAUUCAAUCCUUAAAAACUUCCUGAAGACAGAAAAGUUGAAUGAUUUAUUGUUACUUAUGUUAAUAAACUUUCCAAGAGAAUUUUGUCCUUAAAAAAAAAAA